rnacentral:rRNA from 1 species
CCUACGGGGGGCUGCAGUGAGGAAUAUUGGUCAAUGGGCGAGAGCCUGAACCAGCCAAGUCGCGUGAAGGAUGACGGCCCUACGGGUUGUAAACUUCUUUUGUCAGGGAACAAAGGCGGGGACGUGUCCCCGGACGAGUGUACCUGAAGAAAAAGCAUCGGCUAACUCCGUGCCAGCAGCCCCGGUAAUACGGGGGAUGCGAGCGUUAUCCGGAUUUAUUGGGUUUAAGGGGUGCGCAGGCGGUCUGUAAAGUCAGCGGGAAAAGGCCGGGGCUAAACCCCGUCCCGCAGUUGAAACUGGCAGUCUUGAGUUGGAGAGAGGUAUGCGGAAUGCGCGGUGUAGCGGUGAAAUGCAUAGAUAUCGCGCAGAACUCCGAUUGCGAAGGCAGCAUGCCGGCUCCACACUGACGCUGAGGCACGAAAGCGUGGGUAUCGAACAGGAUUAGAUACCCGGGUAGUC